rnacentral:rRNA from 1 species
AGUAGUUUGAUCAGUGGCUCGAGGACGAACGCUGGCGGCGUGCCUAACACAUGCAAGUCGAACGGAGUAAGAAUUUCGGUUUUUACUUAGUGGCGAACGGGUGAGUAACGCGUAUCCAACCUUCCCCAUAGUAGGGCAUAGCCCGUAGAAAUGCGGAUUAAUACCCUAUGUUUUCCUUUGCAGGCAUCUAACGAGGAAUAAAGGUUCACCGCUAUGGGAUGGGGAUGCGUCUGAUUAGGUUGCAGGCGGGGUAACGGCCCACCUGGCCAACGAUCAGUAGGGGUUCUGAGAGGAAGGUCCCCCACACUGGUACUGAGACACGGACCAGACUCC